rnacentral:tRNA from 1 species
GCCUGGGUGGCUCAGUGGGGGUAAGCAUCUGACUUUGGCUCAGGUCAUGUCUCAGGGUUUGUGAGUUCAAGCCCCACAUCGGGCU